CCUACGGGUGGCAGCAGUAGGGAAUCUUCCACAAUGCUCGAAAGCCUGAUGGAGCAACGCCGCGUGGGUGAAGAAGGUCUUCGGAUCGUACAACCCUGUUGUUAGGGAAGAAAGUGCGUAAGAGUAACUGAAGAAAAAGCAUCGGCUAACUCCGGACCAGCAGCCGCGGUAAUCCGGAGGAUGCGAGCGUUAUCGGGAUUGAUUGGGGUGAAAGGGUGCGCAGGCGGUGGCACAAGUCAGCGGGAAAGUCGCGGGGCUCAACCCCGCUCCGCCGUUGAUACUGUGUCCCGUGAGUGCGCGAAGGGUAGGAGGAAUGCGUGGUGUAGCGGUGAAAGGCAUAGAUAUCACGCAGAACUCCGAUCGCGAAGGCAGCCUACCGGCGCGAAACUGACGCUCAUGCACGAAAGCGUGGGUAGCGAACAGGAUUAGAUACCCGUGUAGUC
rnacentral:rRNA from 1 species